UUGGGGUCCCUUCCAGCCCGACCAUUCUGUUUCUGUUAUUCUAUGUCUCUAUGGUUCUCUACUUCUAUGAAAUCAGCACCAGACAGGGCAGCAGCUGGACCAAGGGUGAAGCUCAGUGAGCUCUCACCAUAGCCCUUGUGUCCCCUGUCCCCAUGUCAACCAUGUGCUCAGAUUUCAUCUCACCACACUGUGCCCAACCCUUUAUUAAGACCUGCAUAGCAAUGGGUCACUGCUUCUCCAAAUUAAGGGGCUGCGUGGCUGAACGGGAGAUGAUGACCUGAUUUGUGGAGAUGUGGCACUGAGGAACACGGGGACUGUGCUGCUUCGUAAACAAGUACCAGAUACGCUUUAACUCACUGCAAAAUAACAAUUGACGCUGUGCACAAGAAGAAAAUCCCAAAUUUCAAUUGGUAGAAAGACGAGAUGGCCUCAAAUACGAAAGAUGAGCUACUGAAAAAAAAAAAAAAAGAAGCAAACUCACCAGAAAGCCGUGAUUAAAUUUGUGCAGAAGGUAUGCGGUAGAGAAGGGGAACAUAUGGAGGUUCCUCAGUCUCCAUGGCACAGGGAUGGAGCUCACUGGGUGCAUCACCACCAGCUCGAGCAGAGCCAGGGCUAUGGCACAGCACAUGCAAAUCUCACCGACGUGCUUGUCCCGAUGAGUCCGAGAAGAGCUUUUUCACUAAAGCUGUGUUGUAACACGUUCACGCUUCUUUCACAUGCAUUUAGAUGCCUUGUACCACAAGUAUCAGAUUCAUUAAAUUCACCGAGUGCAGUUGCUUUUCCCUUCUUGGCUUGCAGUAUCUCAAAGUUGAACCUGUUAACCUAACACUGAAGGAGAAAAACUGUGCUUAAGAAAAAAAUUGUUUUUCAGCUCUAGAGGUCUGUUUUGAUGAUGUCCCUGGUGUACAA